ACGCAUAGGGAGCCACACUGUGAGCUGGAUGAAGAUCUGUCCUUCUGUUUGUUUCUGUUAAGAAGAGCUACUGCUCAGAAAGUGACUCGGGCAUUACAGCUGCACCACCUUAGAUGACUGCUUACAGCAAGACUCAUUAACAACCCAGGGCACUGACAUCUCUGACCAUUAUGUCAGCAACCAACCACUCAGUAUGGGCACCUCUUCAGUUUUACUGAAUGCAGGAUUAAAAAGAUAAGGAGGCUGCAGAGCUCAGAAUCCUCAGAACUCGACCUGCCCUGACAGCGUCUGUGCCACCAUGGGAACCCGAGGUGACGUGUAUCCAUUGGGGCUCUGCAUCGCCCUGUGCCUGUGGGGCACCGGGGCCCAGAAUCAUGGCGUACAAGGUACCACUGGGGACUGCAACAGCCAUAUGCUGUGCCCAGCAAACGCCAAGUGUGUGAACAGCACCCACUGCACCUGCCUGGAUGGAUACCAGCCAAAGGGGAAUCGCUUCUUCACCGACCCAACAGAGCUCU